rnacentral:rRNA from 1 species
GACGAACGCUGGCGGCGUGCUUAACACAUGCAAGUCGAACGCUGAAGCUUGGUGCUUGCACUGGGUGGAUGAGUGGCGAACGGGUGAGUAAUAAGUGAGUAACCUGCCCUUGACUCUGGGAUAAGCCUGGGAAACUGGGUCUAAUACUGGAUACGACAUGUCACCGCAUGGUGGUGUGUGGAAAGGGUUUUACUGGUUUUGGAUGGGCUCACGGCCUAUCAGCUUGUUGGUGGGGUAAUGGCUCACCAAGGCGACGACGGGUAGCCGGCCUGAGAGGGUGACCGGCCACACUGGGACUGAGACACGGCCCAGACUCCUACGGGAGGCAGCAGUGGGGAUUAUUGCACAAUGGGCGGAAGCCUGAUGCAGCGACGCCGCGUGAGGGAUGACGGCCUUCGGGUUGUAAACCUCUUUCAGCACGGAAGAAGCGAAAGUGACGGUACGUGCAGAAGAAGCGCCGGCUAACUACGUG